GUGGGGAAUAUUGGACAAUGGGGGGAACCCUGAUCCAGCCAUGCCGCGUGUGUGAAGAAGGCCUUUUGGUUGUAAAGCACUUUAAGCGAGGAGGAGGCUACCGAGAUUAAUACUCUUGGAUAGUGGACGUUACUCGCAGAAUAAGCACCGGCUAACUCUGUGCCAGCAGCCGCGGUAAUACAGAGGGUGCAAGCGUUAAUCGGAUUUACUGGGCGUAAAGCGCGCGUAGGUGGCCAAUUAAGUCAAAUGUGAAAUCCCCGAGCUUAACUUGGGAAUUGCAUUAGAUACUGGUUGGCUAGAGUAUGGGAGAGGAUGGUAGAAUUCCAGGUGUAGCGGUGAAAUGCGUAGAGAUCUGGAGGAAUACCGAUGGCGAAGGCAGCCAUCUGGCCUAAUACUGACACUGAGGUGCGAAAGCAUGGGGAGCAAACAGGAUUAGAUACCCCUGUAGUCC
rnacentral:rRNA from 1 species